rnacentral:rRNA from 1 species
UGGGGAAUUUUGGACAAUGGGCGAAAGCCUGAUCCAGCAAUGCCGCGUGUGUGAAGAAGGCCUUCGGGUUGUAAAGCACUUUUGUCCGGAAAGAAAUCCUUGGCUCUAAUACAGUCGGGGGAUGACGGUACCGGAAGAAUAAGCACCGGCUAACUACGUGCCAGCAGCCGCGGUAAUACGUAGGGUGCAAGCGUUAAUCGGAAUUACUGGGCGUAAAGCGUGCGCAGGCGGUUUGCUAAGACCGAUGUGAAAUCCCCGGGCUCAACCUGGGAACUGCAUUGGUGACUGGCAGGCUAGAGUAUGGCAGAGGGGGGUAGAAUUCCACGUGUAGCAGUGAAAUGCGUAGAGAUGUGGAGGAAUACCGAUGGCGAAGGCAGCCCCCUGGGCCAAUACUGACGCUCAUGCACGAAAAGCGUGGGGGAGCAAAACAGGAUUAGAUACCCUGGUAGUCCACGCCCUAAAACGAUGUCAACUAGUUGUUGGGGACUCAUUUCCUUAGUAACGUAGCUAACGCGUGAAGUUGACCGCCUGGGGAGUACGGUCGCAAGAUUAAAACUCAAAUGAAUUGACGGGG